AAGCACAGAGGGGUCUAGGGCUGGCCAUCCGUGGACCCCAAAUUGAGGCUUAAAGUCGGGAGAAAACCCAAGUAGGCUACUUUGCUACUUGCCAUUGUGUGGUUUGAUUCUGUGAGAGGAGAAAAUAAACAGGUGACUGAGCUGUUGCCUGCUCUUACUGUGGGCUCGUUCUGGGCUUGGUGUGGCUUCCAGCCUAGGUUUGCUGCUCCUCCGGGACACGGUGCCCACAGGGUGGGAAUAUAAAAUGGGAUCACUCCUCAGUGUACGACCUCAUGGCCUUACCCAUAAAGCCAGGUGCUGGGCAUUGCAACAAGGUCCCUUCCUGAGCCAGAAGUUGGAAAUGGAAAUAAGACUGAUCAAUUCCCAGCACACGGAAGCAUUUAACAAAUGGCACACUUGGCUGUGCUGUCCUCAAUCAGAGUCCACCAAGUCCAUCUUGUAAAAUCACAUGCGUAAGGUGAUGGCAACGUUCUGGAGUUACAUAGUAGUGAUUGUUGCAAAACUCUGUGAAGAUAACUGCAAAGCAUUGGAUUAUACUUUAAAAGUUUUCUUGAUUUGCCGGGAUGCACUGUCAAAAGCAAAGAAAAGAUAUGGAACCUGUUUGUACCUGGAGUUUAUUGUCUGACCACGAAGCUGCUUCAAGUUCUCUGGCUUUGUUUUCAUGGAAAAAGCUUACAGAUUACCAGGAAUUAUUUUGAAAACAUCUAAAAGAAAAGUACCUACAAAUAGGAGUCAAUAAAUGUUGUCACCAUGGCAAGCAUAUGGAGUCACGACUGCUUGUUGUAAAAGAACACGGCAUAUCAGAAAAGACAUCGUGCGGAAUUCCUCAAAAAGAUCAUUUUAU